UGCUGGUUUCCCUGGUAACCAAUGAGCCAACCUGAUUUCAAUUCUCCUAUAAAUUGAAAGGCUUCUCCCACUUGGGAGUGAAGCCUGCCGCCAUGUCCUGACCACCAUUGGCCCCCACACGUUGGGGUGUUGCUCCAGGAUAUUGCUUCAGAAAAGGUGGCUGCGCAUCUAUUUCCUCAACCCUCUGUCCUCACCGCCAACCAAAUCCCCCUGGCGCCAAGCUUGAGCAUCCUGCUUGGCAGUCCACAUACCUGUGUACAUGGAGGCCAUGCCCCUGAGCACACCCUCGUGCAGGAAGAGUGGACGGUUAUGCGUAGCCAGGACUGACAUGAAG
ensembl:lncRNA